AAUGUUGACAGUUGUUAAAAGAUAUAAAAGUAACCAGUCUUUUAAGUGUGACUAUUGCUAUUCACCUGUACUUCAAAGAACAACUAAAUCUCAUAAUAACUGUACUGUUCUAUGAAAUCCCAAGUUCUAGCUGGAUUCACACACUUUCAAUGGUGGCCUCACACACAUACCUUCCAGAGAGUACCACGUGCAACAUCUGCCAUAUAGCCUUCAGCGACCUCCUCAGGAUACAAAGAGAUCCGGAGUUGUGAGCUGAGCUGACCCACCCACUCACAAGCACUACCCAUCUCAGCAUCCUCCCACUGAAGUAUUCUUCUGGAGCCUCCCUGUGACUCUUCUUCCUCAUCAAGACCCACCACAUCCACCUCAGGAGAGUCAGAGGUACAGGCUGUAUUGCUUUGGUGCCUCUGUUGCUCCAGCUCUUCUAAA